CAGCCGCCGCGGUAAUACGUAGGUCCCGAGCGUUGUCCGGAUUUAUUGGGCGUAAAGCGAGCGCAGGCGGUUAGAUAAGUCUGAAGUUAAAGGCUGUGGCUUAACCAUAGUACGCUUUGGAAACUGUUUAACUUGAGUGCAAGAGGGGAGAGUGGAAUUCCAUGUGUAGCGGUGAAAUGCGUAGAUAUAUGGAGGAACACCGGUGGCGAAAGCGGCUCUCUGGCUUGUAACUGACGCUGAGGCUCGAAAGCCAGGGGAGCGAACGGGAUUAGAUACCCCGGUAGUCCCUGUCUCUUAUACC
rnacentral:rRNA from 1 species